GUUGCAGACACCAGGCUUGGCUCCCGGGUCCUGUUCGCCCUGCCCUGCCCUCCCCUGCCCUUCUGUGCAGGGAGGUGACUCAGAGCCAGGUGGAGGUGGGCACCUGUUGGAGCCGCUCCAAGCUGCAGCGCUGGCCCAUCGCAGCCUGGUCUCCGGUUACACAAGGGCUGGACCGGGCAGAAAAGAUGGAGCACGUUCUGUAGAGAAAGAAGCCCUCAGGGACGCGCUGGUCUCCUGGCAUCAGUGAAUCCGGGGGCAGGCUCCCCGCCCCUCCCCGUCUUGCAGAGGCUGGCGGCUGAUGCAAGAUGCUCUCGGAUUGCGCCGCCUCCCAGAACAGCAGUUCAAGUGGGAAGUGCCAGUGAACAGGCGGCCGCAACGGUCGCGGAAAGAGCCGGCGGGAAGUGGCGCCGCCCAGCGCUCGGCUCGGUGGGGAGCCGGCGGGCGGGCUGGAAUUCUGCGGGAGGGGGAGGGGGACCCUCCUGGAGCCCCCGAGCAACGCUGCGGGCGGGCCCAGAGGGCGAGGGGAGACCCCAGUGACCACGGGAGCAUCUCCCCAGAUGCCUCCUGUCAGGGAGGGAGGGGGCAGGUUCCCAGGAGGGACAGAAGCCCCGCUUCAGCGUCGCCGGGGACUCUGGGAGGGGCUCCAAGGCCCUGGGAUUGGCCAGGCUUCCGAGAUGUGGGAGCAGAAUGACUGCAGAGCCAGGGCGACUUUGCCUAGCUGUGCCCGGGGUGGGGGCGCUGACCACACGAAUGUCUGGUGUCACAGUUGCCUGCGUGAAGAGUCCGCGGCAAUGGCAGGGGUUCCUGACCCCCACAUGAACCUGGGGGUCUGACGGGGGCAUCCUGUGCACUGUAGGCUGUCUAAUAGCAUGCCUGGUCUCCACCUCCCAGAUGCCACGGCACUGCCCUCCACAGGUGUUGAUAGUCAAAACUGCCACCUGCCUUCACCCUGCAUCCUGAGGGUGCUGGCCUGGAGACCCCUAGCUCUCCUCCCCCACUCUGCCCAGCGGACCUCCCGUCUCGUCCCGUCUGGCCUGGUCCUGCCACUCUGGGGUCCAGUGCCACGUCCACAUCACCCCGGCCCUCGGGCUUCUCUGCUGUGGCAUCUUUGGAGGCUGAUUGCCCUCGGCCUGGGCUCUGCUGCCCUCCUCGAGGUCCGGCUGCAGGGAGGGGGCUCCCCAGGAGUGGAAGCUGCUCCUCACCGCCCGACGUGAAUACAUAUUCCCUGGCCAGGUGGGCUCAUAUGGGUCCUCUUGGAGGUCUCCCAAGGGGCCCCCAGCAGCUGCUCUGGCGUCCCGAGCACAGAAGUCUCCUUCUCAGAAGUCAGAGUUUCCCAGGAAGGUGGGGAGAGAGGCUGCUGCCUCCAGCUCGAGGCACCCGGGACUCUGACUCCCUUCCUUCCCUCCAAAGUGAACCACAGUCGGUCAGUCGGUCUUCAAGCUUCACCCUGGUGGCUCAGAUGCUAAAGAAUUUGUCUGCAACGCAGGACACCCAGGUUUGAUCCCUCGGUUGGGAAGAUCCCGUCGAGAAGGACAUGGCAACCCACUCCAGUGUUCUUGCCUGGAGAAUUCCAGGGACAGAGGAGCCUGGCAGGCUACAGUCCAUGGGGCCGCGAAGAGUCGGACACGACUAAGCGACCAACGCUUGCAGUUUCUUCAAGCUCCUGCGGCCCCUGGUGUUUCCUGGCUUAUGGUGAUGGUGUAUCUCUCCAAUAUCUGCUUCUGUGCUCACAUGGUCACUGGAAGAGUCAGCAUCUGUGCGUCUCAAAUAUGCCUCUUUUGCCUCUUUAAGGAUACCCAUCAUUGGAGUGUGUAACUUAAUUAGAUCUGCAAAGACCCUGUUUUCAAAUAAGGUCACAUUCUCAGGUCUCCAGGGUCAGGACUUGGACAUGUUUUUUUGGCGGGGGAACACUAUUCUGCCUCAUGCUGGGUGAGGGUGGGCCCUAAAUCCAGUGACUGGUGACUUUAUGUGAGGAUAUGAAGACACAGAGAGGAAAAGACCAUGUGAAGUUGGACAGAGGUUGGAAAGGUGCAGUUACAAGCCCAGAUGCCAAGGCCUGCUGGCCACCAGAAGCUGGAGGGUUAAGAAUGGACCCUCCCCUCGAGAUUUUAGAGGCCCCAUGUCUGACCUCUGCUUCUGUUGUCGCCUCUCCUCCUCUGACCCUGACCUCCCAUCUCCCUGAUAAAGAUCCACGUGAUGACCUUGGGACCCUCAGAUGAUCCAGGACCAUUUCUCACCUCAGGGACCUCACUUUAAUCCCCCUGGAGAGCCUCUUUUGCCACGUGAGGCUGCACAUCCACAGGUCCCCCCCAGGUCAGGUCAUGGUCACUCUACCCACCUCCCCAGACUCCUGUCACCCUGCAGUGGCCAUAGUGCCCUUUCUCUAGGUGGCAUGUCCCUCUGUGUCAUAGCCCGGCGUACUGCCCUGGUGUUUAGAACAAAGUCCAAACCCUUCCUCAUACCCACUGCCCUGUGGGAAGCUGUCCUGCCAAGCCCCCAGCGCCCUUUCAGGGCACAGCAGUGUCUGACGCCAGUCACCCCAGCAGGUUCCUUCUGGCCUCUGCCCCACGGGAGACCCCAUCCUGCCUACCGGGCUGACCUGUUUACUUCAUUCACACACUUCUCAUUGCCCCAGGUUACCUGUGAAUCCAUGCACCUGCUCCUGUCCAUCCCCCUCUGAGGACCAGCUGUGAGUUCUGUGAACGCCUCAGCCUCUGAGUGCCCAAAGCCCGCUGACCACGCUCACCAAAUGUUUGUGAAGUGCCGAGGGAUUCCAGCAGAGGCCGCCGAGCUCAAGCCGGCCCGUCGCUGGUCUUGGCACAGCGUGCCGUCCAGUCCUCAGCCAGUUAUUCAGACACACAAAGGGCUCUUGGCCUCGGCUGGGGACAACAGAAGGGGCAGUGUUGGCGCCGGGGCCCAAGUCUUGGCCCCUGGACCUUCAUUCUGCCACUUCAGCAGAAGCCGUUCCCGCCAACUCUCACCAGUGACCAGGGAGGGAGACGCCUGCUUCUCCCUUGUCCCCCCAUCCCCAACCCUGUGCCAUCUGGGAACCUUGCUCCUCUGACCUCCACUCCCAGAUCCCAACUUGGCCUUGGCUACCAGCAGCGGAUGAUAAUAUUUAUUGGUGGGGAGCCAUGGCCUGGCUGAGCUCUGUGACCACGAGACAAAUGACACCCACAUCUUGGCAGCAGAGUGAGGCCCGUUCCUCCUGGGUGGGAGAGCCUUGGGGAGCCAGAGGGUGUGAUGCUCGGAGACCAGUGGCAGCCAAGCCCAGAAAGCAGCCACGGCCAGGUCCCAGCACAUUCGCUGUGCCUGCCCUGAGGCCCAGGGACCUUCACACAGUCUGGCAUGCUUGUUAAUUAUAGCGAGUUAGAAGAUUAUCUCCGGAGAAUGCAAUGUUGCAGGAUUUUUGCCUAUAGCUGAAGAGAUGUGCUCACCAGCCAAGCAGAUGGAAGGCCAGGGAGGCGAGUCUUCUCUGUGUUCUGCAGAGAAAUGGAAAACAAUGUGAAGACCUGGAGACCCCAGUGUGCCUGGCAAAGAGGCCAAAAGCAAACUUCCAUGGGAGAGGAUCCAAGGCGCCUGGAAUGAUCACAUGUAGCAUCUGAGAGGCUGGGGGCUGCUAUGGGCGUCUGCCAUCAGAAGCCCCUCACCCACACCCCUCACUCCCAGCGAGCACAUGACAGGUUUCACACAGUGAAUUUCUGCCUCCUCGUUAAGCCUCCUUUAUAGCACGGGGUGCACAUUUGAAUCUGACCCGUGACUGCCUCGUGGACGCAGGGACCUCAUGUUCCAUCAGGGACCACGACCUCAGAUGCUCGGGGCAUGACCCGCUCCCCUCUUCUGGCCUCAUUUGUUGAAACUUGCAGGAUCCUAUGUGCUAAUUCCCAAAGAAUGAAACAGCCGGAGGGACCCAAGAAUGCUGGGCUCUCAUUCCAGUGGAUUAACAGCCCACUCAACCCGACCUGACAAGUCUGGGAGGCAGUUUCUUUCCAGCUUCACGCCCCUGCUGGUCUUGGCUCCUCUUGCCUCCCAGGCCUGAGUCCCGGGUUGGAAUCAAGGAAAGCGCUGAAUGCAGACUUGUGGGCCAUGCAGGACAGAAGAAGAGAGCAUGAGCAGCUCCUGACACUGCACUCUGGUCCACAGAUCCAUCUGGCUUUUAGAAUGAAGUUGAGGAACUAUAGCCAGUUAGGGGUGAUGGAGAGGGGAGGGUGUGGAUGAGAGGGGGUUGUUACCCUUACCGUGUGUGCGUGUAUGUGUGUGUGUGUGUGUGUUUUGUGUGUUACAAGCACAUGAGGCCAACAGCAGGAGGGCGUCUGUGAAACAGGAAAAGUCUCUGAACCAGGCCUCCUGCUAAAAGCUCA